UAAUUUUAUUAUUUGAGAUAUAAGAAAAAGAGAUAUUUGAAAAAAAAUUAAUUCAUUAAACAUUCUCAUAUGUAUAUCGUAUUUCUGAACGUCAAGUUUGCUCUCAUUUUCUUAUUUGAUAAUAAAGAAGAGUAUCGCUCGACAGAAGCAAUUAGAUGGAGAGAGUUGUGCGACACAUGCUAAGGGCAAUUUUUCACAAGCAACUGGUAAAGCAAGAUCUUCAUGGUAACGUUUUGACAAGAAAGCAACGAUCUCUUUACCGCUACCGAGAAUAACCGAGUUCCUUAGGUACAUACUGCGAAGUGUUUAUAUCGUCGAUUCGAGCUGCGGAGGUGUUCUGUACUUCGUCAACCGAAGAGUUUACAAAGCGGCGAUUCCUGCUUCAAUUCGAGGGCCCACAUAUGCUGCGGCCAACCAGUUCGUCCUUUACUUUUCGACGAUUCCUCGGUUCCUACACCUGUCUGAUGUAAAUACGAUUCAUUCUGCAAUGAAAAAUUUCGAGA